UCCCCGUCCUGUUCCUCGCAGAAGAGCCGGCUGGCGCUGAAGGCGCGGGAGAACCUGCUGCUGCUGGCGGGGCUGCGGCAGGAGGCGGCUGCCAGCUGCCUGGUGAGGGGCAGUGCCCUGUGCCAGCUGCUCGCGGGACACCUCUGUGACCUCUACAGCGCCGUGCCCGCUGGCACCGACCCCGCCGAUGUCCUCGCCAUGGACAGGGGCAGCUGGAGGGCGCAAGGGGAUGGUGCCGGGGACGGGGCUUUUCCCGGGAAGGAGAGCCUGGCUGAGUUCCUGAGCUGGCUGGACUUCGUGGAUGAGCUGGUGAUGGGCGCCCACCCGCUCGUGGCCGAUGCCAUCACCGAGGCCGUGGAGGAGAAGUUUUUCCAGGGAAUCCUGCAGCCGCAGCUCCUGCAGAUGUGAGUGAGUCUGGCCGGGCUGUUCCGCUCCUCAGGAGCCUCCGGGGAGCCGGGAGCAGGGGGUUCCCGUUUUCCCAUGGAUUCCCACCCCCUGUCCCCCCGGCAGGUCAGAGCUGGCCGUGCUGGGCACCACGGCCGUGCUGACG
rnacentral:lncRNA from 1 species